AGGGCAGUGGCUCAACGGUUAAGGCUCUGGGUUACUGAUUAGGAGGUUGAGGGUUCAAACCCCAGCAGCGCCA